rnacentral:RNase_P_RNA from 2 species
CGAGUCGGUCGGACGGUCGCGUCGGGAGGCCUUCAGGUCUCCCGCCGAGGAACGUCCGGGCUCCACAGGGCGAGGUGGUGGGUAACGCCCACCCGGGGUGACCCGCGGGACAGUGCCACAGAGAACAGACCGCCCGCGCCCGCCGAGGCCGAGGCCCCGGCAGGUGCGGUAAGGGUGAAACGGUGGUGUAAGAGACCACCAGCGGGCCGGGUGACCGGUCCGGCUCGGUAAACCCCACCUGGAGCAAGGUCAGACAGACUGUGUUCGAGGGCGGCCCGCCCGAUUCUCUGUCGAGAAGCACAGUCGGGUAGACCGCUGGAGGCGUACGGCAACGUGCGUCGUAGAUGGAUGACCGUCGCCCGCGCGGGGGUGACCGCGCGCGGGAACAGAACCCGGCGUACAGACCGGCUCGUCCG